rnacentral:lncRNA from 1 species
AUAAAAUGCUCUACAUCUCUAUCUCUCUAACCUGGAACCUAUACAACACUUCAACCUAUCAAAAGUCCUGGCAGGAAAGAAUCCUAAUUUACAAGUUAGAAUUUAAUCAAUGUGGAGUCAGUCAUGUAACGUGGGAGUGGUGUAAAGACCUGCCUUCUUAUAUAUCCUUGAAUGGUUCCCUCGAUAGCCCGCCCCAGGACCCGAGCCAGUUUUAACCGCCCUGUGCCACUCAGGCGGAAAGGUUACUUGAACAGCACCACCUCCACUGGCAUAAACAACCCACCACCUUUGCUUCUUCACUUGAAGGCGGAUUUUUGCAAAAAUAAGAUUUUAAAGUUCUUUUUUGUUGGGUCAGCUAUCAUCAACUGGUUUCUUUGUGAGACUGACUCCUUUCGCCUUCUCCAUUUCUGCUUCCUUGGCUGCUUUCUUCUUCUCCAGUUCCUCUUGCUUGAUGUUCUCUUCAUGUGCUUUCUUGAAUAGCCUUAUAAAAUUCAAGAGGGUCGCAGUAACUGCAGCAAUCCAUCACCCAGGUGUUGUUAUUAACUAGCUAAUAUAAUAACAAUGAACAACGUUCUAAUGUAUCAACAUUAUGCAAACCUUGUUCAAAUGGACAACGUUUGGGAUCUUCUCCAAAAUAAUAUGCAAGUGCAUCAGCAUUAUUGCCCUGUCCAUUAAAAAGACAAAUAAAGAUUACUUCAGGAUCAAAGGUAUUGUCACAUGUAAGACCUUUUGGGAUCUAGUAGAGGUUGAAAAAUUACCACGACCGAGUAAAGACUCGAUACAGUUGCCACUUCAGUAGUAGCAACGGAAAUGAAGUCCUUCAAUGUCUGUUAUCAAAAACAUAAAACUACAUUUUAGCAUCCGGAAGUAGUUGUCUUUAAGAACAUCUAAAAUUCAUGAAAUAUGAAGAAAAACAUACUUUACGGAAAACUUCAGAAACAGGACCAUCACUCUCGGAUGCAGUGAGCUCCUGGUUCAGUUUCUCCAACCCUUUGAUAAUAGCUUGCAUUUCUUCAGCCAGUGACUUCAAUUGUAUCUAAAAUCAACAAAAAAAAAAUCAAAUGAUUGAGCCAGUUACAACCAAUGGAUAGAGGAAAGAUAAAGCACAAAGCCACAAAGGCAAACCUUUGAAGCUGAUUCAAGACUUCCAAGAUCCUUAUGGAAGUCCAGUAGAUCUGAUCCCUUGGAAGCAAGGACCUGUAGAAAGAGAUGUUCAGACCAUUUUCUAAAAACAACUCUCAACAGAAGAACCUUAAAGACUGCUUUUUGAGAUUGUGAUUUUUACCUUGCAAAGAUAGUGCAUGAGAGUCAUCUUGCUGUUAGCAGCACGUGUAUCGCUUAGUUUUAACAAACUGUCCAACUUGAAUCCCACUGCAGCGCCUGCACAGAAAGCAGAACAAUGGUUUUUAUCAACCACAAAGGAUAUGCGGGUCAGACAAAACAGGUAACAAAGGCACCAUUCUUGGAUCAAGCCCACAUUCAACAGGAAAUGUUCUGAGCAAAAAGAUGUAAAACAAUAACAAAAGAAUACUUACCCCUCGCAGUUCCUUGGUUCAAUGUGUUCCCCAGAUAAAGAAUCUUUUUCAUAAUCUCUUUUAGCUUUUGUGAAGUACGAACCUGAUGAACAAGCAAUGAGGAGAAAAAAAGUCUAAGAAAGAGAAAUAUAAUAUGGACUAAAGAAAAUAUUAGAGUUAAGUUCUUGCAAGCAUCUAACCUCAUCACACGCAGAAUUUACCGCAUUUAAACUUUUUUUGAAUUCUUUUAUCUGCACAAAGAUCAUCAUUAACAAUAAGACCACUAAUUCAAAACUACAUAGACACUAAUUCAAUAACAGUAACGCCACCGGACCUGAGUGCCGAAUUGAAUCUUGAAGGAAAACACUCUCAUCUUCGAUUCUACUCGUGGCACCUUCAUUAGCUCUAGGAAGUACUGCGGUAACCAAAUGAUAAGAGCAGACCAAAACGUAUUAGCUAAGGAGAUUGUUCAAAGUUUAAAACUAUCUCAAGAUUCAAACAGACCUGCUCACACUUUCCCAAGGUCGCCUUGUCACCAGUGUAGUUCUACAGCAAAACAGUCAAUAACAACCAAGAUUGAGGAACCAAGAAGAAUGAUAUAUUUCACACAAGACAUCCGAAAUAAAGACAAAAGCCAAUACCUUCAGAAGUUCCAUCUCUUCCUUGGUUGGACAAAACUUUAUAAGAUUCUCUAUUUGAUCAAUAUCUAGUACAGUAUCAUCCAUUGCUAGAACUGCAGCCUGGUUGAUGAAAAGAAAAUUGUGAACAAUGAUCAUACUUGUACUCAACUAAAGCAUGUUUGGAGCUUACCAUCAUAUCAGGAAGCGGCAUCUUUACUUUCGUAAGCAUAAUUUCCGUAUUAUUGGCUCUCCUAAGAUCAAUCUGAAAAUCAGAAGAAAUAUAAUUAUCUUUUACAGCAGGUGAUACUCAGAUUCCAGGCACAUGAACAAAGUCUCCACUAGAAAAAGCGUACGUAAUCUGGCAAUAACCAAGUCUUUAGAAUAAUUUAACAUUACCAGUUGAACUUUUUCAGGUUUUGCCCCAACAGACUUUCUUCGACCUCCAGCUUUAUCAACCGGCUUUGGCACUAUAGCAGAGAAAAGGGUCUCUAUUUCUGAUACAUCAAACUCAGGUGCACUAGCAGAAACGAAGAAAAAUGAUGAUCAAUAACAAGAGGGGAAUAUAUAUUUAAAAAGGAAUGUGAAAGUUAGUGCAAUACGUUUGUCCUUGUCUCUGUAACUCGUCCCAUAAGCUUCCCUGCAAGGCCCUUGUUACUUUAACCCAGUGUAAAGGCUUCAGAGAAGACUUUUUUGGAGCUGAAGACCCCAAACCUGGACGUGCAAGACCACGCCCUCUUCCUGCACCCUUCAGAUCUGGAGGUGCACCAGGAGGUCUAGGUCCAGGAGGUGGAGGAGGUCCACCAGGAGGUCUUGGUCCAGGAGGUGGAGGUGGACCAGGAGCACGACCACCAGGAGGCGGUGGAGGGGGAGGUCCAGGAGCUCUACCACCAGGAGGCGGAGGAGGAGGAGGGGCUCCUCCACGCAUUGGAGGAGGUGGUGGCGGUGGGGCUCCUCCACGCAUUGGAGGUGGUGGUGGUGGUGGGGCUCCUCCAGGAGGAAGUGGUGGAGGCGGAGGUCCACCAGAUCUAAAUGGAGGUGGUGGUGGCGGCGGAGGUCCACUAGUUCCAAAUGGAGGUGGUGGUGGCGGCGGAGGUCCUCCAGAUCUAAAGGGAGGUGGUGGUGGUGGCGGAGGUCCAUUAGAUCCAAAUGGAGGUGGCGGUGGUGGUGGAGGUCUACUGGAUCCAAAUGGAGGUGGUGGUGGUGGAGGUGAAGUUUUACCAAAUGGAGGUGGUGGUGGUGGUGGCGGAGGUCAUAUGUAUUUUUAUAUGGUACAUAAUUUAUUUUAAACAAUAUUAAUAUAUUAAUAUUUAUUAAUGAGACUUCUUAUUAUAUAAUUUUGUAAUCAUUUAUAUCUUGUUAUAUCUUAUUAUAUAAAAAGUAAACCAAGAAUCAAAAAAAUUUCAAUGUGAGAUUUUUUAAUAAUUUUAGUCAUUUAUAGUUUUUUUUUAAAGUUUAAAAUAUAACAUAUACAAAAAAAUCUAAAUUUUUACUAUAUAGUUAAUGUGGUUGUUUAAAUUAUUUUAAUAGGUUAAAAUUUAAAAAAAUGAUAGAGAAUAGACUAAUUUUUAUCAAAUCUUUAUUAUUCAAAAUCAUUAAUUUUCAUAUAUACUUUAGCCACAUUUGUUAAUUCUGUUAUUUUUAUUUAAGGAAACAAUGAAGAACAUUAAUAAUUAAGUUAUAAUUAGUUUAAUAAAAAGUUUAUUAUAUAUUUUCAUGGACCAACAUAUUUUUCUAAAGAUUCUAAGAAUAAUUGUGGUGAUGACAAGUGGCUACAAAAAAAUGUUAUAAUGCUUCUCUUUUAAUAUAUAAGAGGAUGUUGUUAACAAAAUAUAAUUCAACUAAAUCAUAAAAUAAUAUAUAUAAAAUAAAACACAAAAAAUCAUAGUUUAUAUACAUGUUUUUAAGUCGGAUACAAAUUGUUCUUAUCGGGUCGGAUCUAUUCGGGUCGGGUUUUUUCGGAUCCGGAUCUAUUCGGAUCGGUUCCUUUCGGUUCCGGUUCUUUCCGGAUCAGUUCCGGUUCGGUUUUCGGAUCCAGUUUAAAAUGCCCAAGCCUAGGUUCAAACAUGACACAUCUAAAAGUUGCUAGUACGGAGACAGACAUUUUAUGGUCAGAUAAUCAUCUCGAGUCAGACAGAACCAUGUCGUUCUUACGAAUACUUGUGAGAAAAGAUUCUGAUAAUUAGUUUUUCUCAUUCGUCUGGAUCCUACUAACCUAGAAAGAACAAUGAUGAUAUUGUGGUACGAUACAAAGUUACACACUAAGCAAAAGAUAAAAUGCUCUACAUCUCUAUCUCUCUAACCUGGAACCUAUACAACACUUCAACCUAUCAAAAGUCCUGGCAGGAAAGAAUCCUAAUUUACAAGUUAGAAUUUAAUCAAUGUGGAGUCAGUCAUGUAACGUGGGAGUGGUGUAAAGACCUGCCUUCUUAUAUAUCCUUGAAUGGUUCCCUCGAUAGCCCGCCCCAGGACCCGAGCCAGUUUUAACCGCCCUGUGCCACUCAGGCGGAAAGGUUACUUGAACAGCACCACCUCCACUGGCAUAAACAACCCACCAC